CAUGUCUUUUUGUAAUUAAUAUAAAGUCUAAUCUGCCCACUGAGAUUUUUUGAAGGGCCGCAGUAACCUGACUGUGCAAAGGUAGCAUAAUCAUUUGUCUUUUAAUUGAAGGCUGGUAUGAAUGAUUGGACGAGGUAAAAUCUGUCUCAUUAUUAAAAUAGUAAAAAUUUAGCUUUUUAGUCAAAAGGCUAAAAUUUUUUUGAAGGACGAGAAGACCCUAUAGAUCUUUAUAGAAAAAUUGAUUUAAUAGGUUUUAUCAAAAAGUUUUUGAAUUAAUUUUUUUAUUUUGUUGGGGUGACAUGAAAAUUUAUUUAACUUUUCAUAAUUUUAUUACAUUAAUUAAUGUUUUUAUGAUCCAUUAUUAUUGAUUAAAAGAAUAAGUUACCUUAGGGAUAACAGCGUUAUUUUAUUGGAGAGUUCAUAUUGAUAAUAAAGUUUGCGACCUC
rnacentral:rRNA from 1 species